CUUCGCUUGUUUUUCCUGCAGGUUUCUUUAUGGGGAGUCGCUAAUCAUUGAAGGAUGGACUGUAGAAGGUGGAGAGAAUUGUAGCACUCUGCUGUGAAGCACAGAAAUAAUGUUCUCAAACAGAAGAAGAAAGAAAGGAGAAUUGUUUGGAGAGGGUUUCUUUAUGGGGAGUCGCUAAUCAUUGAAGGAUGGACAAUAGAAGGUGGAGAGAAUUGUAGCACUCUGCUGUGAAGCACAGAAGUAAUGUUCUCAAACAAAAAGGAAGAAAGAAGGGAGGAUUGUUUGGAGGGGGCUUGGACAAGGAAGGUGCCUUCUACUGAAUCAGACCCCUGGUCCGCGGAAGCUAGGAUGACCUAUUAAGGUGGACAGCGCCUUUCCAGGGUCUCUGUCUGAGAUCUCUCAAGUGACCUACUGCUUGGUUCUCUGAACGGGCGAUGCCAGAAUUCAACAUGGGACCAUCAGCAUGCAAAACAGCAUCCCUCUUUAUGGCUUGUCUCAUUUCUUCUGCGUCCGCUAAAAAAGGGUUUUCAUGAGGAGAUUCUCACUCCUAUCUGACAAGAUACUCCAGGGAUGCUCCCGUACUGCCAACCGGGUGUUACAAUUAGAAGAAGAAGAAGAGUUUGGAUUUAUAUCCCCCCUUUCUCUCCCGCAGGAGACUCAAAGGGGCUUACAGUCUCCUUGCCCUUCCCCCCUCACAACAAACACCCUGUGAGGUGGGUGGGGCUGAGAGAGCUCCGAGAAGCUGUGACUAGCCCAAGGUCACCCAGCUGGCGUGUGUGGGAGUGUACAGGCUAAUGCACUGGCAGAUUCUCUGAUGUUGCUGCGUGACGCUGAGCUGAUGGGAUUGCCCUCUUCUCUUCCUUAGUCACUGGCUGACUAAUUUCUGGGCAGGGUGAAGAACCUGAACGGUCUCAAAAGAGGAAGUAUCUGCCUGCCGUGCAUCAACUUCUUUUAAUAAACAUACAAAGGGAGUCA